UGUCAUGUUGUAAGACCCACAUGGCAAAAAACUGAGGGCAGACUCUAGCCAACACCCAGUGAGGAACUGAAUACUGCCAAUUGUCACGUGAACAAGCUUAGAAGUGGAUCCUUCCCAAGCUGAGACUUCAUACGAGACCACAACUUCAUCCAGCAGCCUUGGAAAUUGAAACUAGAGAAAAGCGACUUCUCCAAGGUCACACUGCUAAUCCCCUUCUAGUCCAGGAUUACAGCUUCAAUCACCUGACUUUCAGUCCAUUCCAUUUCCAGAGCCUUUCUGUGGGCAAGGAUCCUGGAAGGUCCAAUGACACCCCCCACAGGGAACAUGCCUGCGCCAGCCCAGACAGGUCAAAGGGCAGGAUUCCAAGCAGCUGAGAUGAUCUCUAGAGAAACCUGGAAUUUCCCUGUGACACAAGUGUGGCGGAAAGAGGCAGGCCCAGGGGUUGCCAGCACCCCACGAUCCCUUGGCAAGUGGGGCACCCCUCAGGGUGGGAAGGGGGCCCCUACCUGUUUGGUGAACCUGGCCACUGGUUCCUGAAUCUCUGCUUUCAAGGGCCUUGAGCGGCGUAUGUCCCAGGAACAUGGAGUCAUCACAGAGCAUUUACAUCCAAAAUCCAUUUUCCUUCAUAAGU